rnacentral:rRNA from 1 species
UACGGAGGAUCCGAGCGUUAUCCGGAUUUAUUGGGUUUAAAGGGUGCGUAGGCGGAUUAUUAAGUCAGUGGUGAAAGCCUGCAGCUUAACUGCAGAAUUGCCAUUGAUACUGAUGAUCUUGAGUAUGAUUGAGGUGGGCGGAAUGUGUCAUGUAGCGGUGAAAUGCUUAGAUAUGACACAGAACACCGAUUGCGAAGGCAGCUCACUAAGCCAUAACUGACGCUGAUGCACGAAAGCGUGGGGAGCAAACAGG